rnacentral:rRNA from 1 species
GACGAACGCUGGCGGCGUGCCUAAUACAUGCAAGUAGAACGCUGAAAUCUGGUGCUUGCACCGGAUGGAUGAGUUGCGAACGGGUGAGUAACGCGUAGGUAACCUACCUCAUAGCGGGGGAUAACUAUUGGAAACGAUAGCUAAUACCGCAUAACAGUCUUUAACUCAUGUUAGAGUCUUGAAAGGGGCAAUUGCUUCACUAUGAGAUGGACCUGCGUUGUAUUAGCUAGUUGGUGAGGUAACGGCUCACCAAGGCGACGAUACAUAGCCGACCUGAGAGGGU